rnacentral:ncRNA from 1 species
AUGCUAGGGGUGCCUUUUGGGCUGAGAGAUGCAUGCAUCGACCCUUAUUACUUGAACCGGAUAAUGCCGGCGUAAGGAAGCGUUUAAAUCA